rnacentral:rRNA from 1 species
CUUACGCGUAGGGCUACACACGUGCUACAAUGGCAGUGACAAUGGGAUAAUCCCCAAAAGCUGUCUCAGUUCGGAUUGUCGGCUGCAACUCGCCGGCAUGAAGUUGGAAUCGCUAGUAAUCGUGGAUCAGCAUGCCACGGUGAAUACGUUCCCGGGCCUUGUACACACCGCCCGUCACACCAUGGGAGUUGGAUCUACCCGAAGAUUGUGAGCUAACUUCGGAGGCAGCAAGCCACGGUAGGUUCAGCGACUGGGGUGAAGUCGAAACAAGGUAGCCGUAGGGGAACCUGCGGCUGGAUCACCUCCUU